rnacentral:rRNA from 1 species
UAAUACGGGGGGAGCGAGCGUUGUUCGGAUUUAUUGGGCGUAAAGGGCGUACAGGCGGUAGUGUAAGUCAGAUGUGAAAUGCCUCGGCUCAACCGGGGAUCUGCAUUUGAUACUGCAUUACUUGAGUACAGGAGGGGAGAGCGGAAUUCUAGGUGUAGCGGUGGAAUGUGUAGAUAUCUGGAAGAACACCAGUGGCGAAGGCGGCUCUCUGGCCUGAUACUGACGCUGACGCGCGAAAGCUAGGGGAGCAAACAGGAUUAGAUACCCUGGUAGUCCUAGCUGUAAACGUUGGGCACUAGGUGUUGGGGGUAUCGACCCCCUCAGUGCCGAAGCUAACGCAUUAAGUGCCCCGCCUGGGGAGUACGGCCGCAAGGCUG